AAAGAAGUUUAAAUGAGAUCAUAAGGGUGGAAUUCCGAUCUGAGAAUCUGUAUCCUUAUCAGAGACCUUGUGCUUGUGAAGGCACCUUUCUCUCUCUCUCUGUCUCUCUCUCUGUCUCUCUCUCCCCCGCCCCACCACCCCACUUCUCUCUUUGUAUUUAUGCACAUACCAAAGAAAGGUCAUGGGAGGACACAGUGGGAAGGUGGUCGGAGGUUUCUGCGUGGCAGCUGGCAAGCCCAACCCACCAUUGGGGAGCAGCAGCUGGGGGACCACUAGAAACAGCCAAUUAGAAGGAUUUAUUUUCUGUUUGCUUUUUUUCUCCUAAAUCAAUGGGAAAAUAUCCGUAAUACUUAGCCUGAUAAGCAGAAAAAGGGAAAUGUAAGACUCAAAUUAUUGGUUCAUAAAAUAAAGCUCCAGACAAUUCUGUUUUAUGAUACA
rnacentral:lncRNA from 13 species